rnacentral:rRNA from 1 species
GACGAACGCUGGCGGCGUGCUUAACACAUGCAAGUCGAACGGUGACGAGGAGCUUGCUCCUCUGAUCAGUGGCGAACGGGUGAGUAACACGUGAGCAACCUGCCCCAGACUCUGGGAUAACAGUUGGAAACAGCUGCUAAUACCGGAUACGAGACGGAGAGGCAUCUCUACCGUCUGGAAAGUUUUUCGGUCUGGGAUGGACUCGCGGCCUAUCAGCUAGUUGGUGAGGUAAUGGCUCACCAAGGCGACGACGGGUAGCCGGCCUGAGAGGGCGACCGGCCACACUGGGACUGAGACACGGCCCAGACUCCUACGGGAGGCAGCAGUGGGGAAUAUUGCACAAUGGGCGAAAGCCUGAUGCAGCGACGCCGCGUGAGGGAUGACGGCCUCGGUUGUAACGUACUUCUAGUCAGGAGGAAGACGAAAGUAGACGGUACCGUCGCGAGAAGAAGACGACCGGACCGUAACUACGUACGUCCGAGCCGAGCCGCCGGGUAAAACGGUACGGUUA